rnacentral:lncRNA from 10 species
GCCCACCUCGUUGGCUCCACGGAGGCCUGGCUUCUGUCCUGUGCUUGUAGAUUCGCCCGGACCAGGAAGCGGAUCGCGUGGACUGGAAGUCACACUGCGGCGGGAGGGGGUAUGUUGACUCUGAGCAAUAAACAACAUAUUUCUAACAUUCAUGAUUGACUUCUAAAGACUCUGGGUAUGUGAAGAAGAAACUCAGAAGAGGAAGAGGAAAGCAAAGGAGUCAGGGAUGGCUCUUCCUCAGGUAAUUGAGUGAGUCUGACCAACAUGGAGAAACCCUGUCUCUAGCAAAAAUACAAAAUUAGCUGGGCAUGGUGGUGUGUGCCUGCAAUCCCUGCUACUCAGGAGACUGAGGCAGAAGAAUGACUUGAAAUCGGGAGGCGGAGGUUGCAGUGACCUGAGAUUGCACCAUUGCACUCCAGCCCAGGGUCUAUUGACAUUCAGGGAUGUGGCCAUAGAAUUCUCUCAGGAGGAGUGGAAAUGCCUGGACCCUGCUCAGAGGACUCUAUACAGAGACGUGAUGCUGGAGAAUUAUAGGAACCUGGUCUCCCUGG